rnacentral:rRNA from 1 species
AAGAAACUUACAAGGAUUCCCUUAGUAACGGCGAGUGAAGCGGGAUCAGCUCAAACUUGAAAUCUCCGUUGCUUGCAACGGCGAAUUGUAGUCUCGAGAAGCGUUUUCCAGGCGGAUCUCUGGCACUCAAGUUGCUUGGAACGGCACAUCACAGAGGGUGACAAUCCCGUUUGUGGUGCCAGAGACCGUCCACGAUGCGCUUUCCAAGAGUCGGGUUGCUUGGGAAUGCAGCCCAAAAUGGGUGGUAAACUCCAUCUAAAGCUAAAUAUUGGCACGAGACCGAUAGCGAACAAGUACCGUGAGGGAAAGAUGAAAAGAACUUUGAAAAGAGAGUUAAACAGUACGUGAAACCGUUAAAGGGGAAACGCAUGGAGUUAGCAAUGUCUCGCUCGGAUUCAGAUCUUUCUGGUUUGCUGGGCUGUGGCGUGAGGAUCUGAACGGACCUCUGUUGCAGUCGCAGUGGACGAGAUGGUCGCACUUUCGGACGAGACGCAUCAACGGGUGUUUGUCAGUGGUUACAAGCCCUUGCAGAAGGUAGGUUCGAUUCGUCGGAUUGUUAUAGCUGCGAGUGUGCCGAUCACAGGCGGACACUUUGACACAGUCACACGUGCCCUCGGGCUGGCCUGUCUGCUCUCAGCGAGUUGUCGACCAUGGCGGACUGCUUGCAGUGCGUCAGAACUGCUGUUUGUUGUGAGUGGGCUGAGUGCACAAACGUGUGCGUUUCGUUGGUGGUCAUAUGGCUUCAUGCGACCCGUCUUGAAACACGGACCAAGGAGUCUAACAUGUGCGCGAGUCUUGGGGUGACUGAAACCCAAAGGCAUAAUGAAAGUGAACGUAUGUGGGUGAGAUCCUGUACUCAAGGGUGCGGGCGCAUCAUCAACCGACCUAUUCUACUCUUAGAAAGGUUUGAGUAAGAGCGCAUCUGUCGGGACCCGAAAGAUGGUGAACUAUGCCUGAGUAGGGUGAAGCCAGAGGAAACUCUGGUGGAGGCUCGUAGCGAUUCUGACGUGCAAAUCGAUCGUCAAACUUGGGUAUAGGGGCGAAAGACUAAUCGAACCGUCUAGUAGCUGGUUCCCUCCGAAGUUUCCCUCAGGAUAGCUGGAACUCGCCUGAAUCAGUUUUAUCAGGUAAAGCGAAUGAUUAGAGGUCUUAGGGUUGAAACAACCUUAACCUAUUCUCAAACUUUAAAUUGGUAAGAAGUCCGACUUGCUUAAUUGAAGCCGGACAGCGAAUGAGAGUUCUUAGUGGGCCAUUUUUGGUAAGCAGAACUGGCGAUGCGGGAUGAACCGAACGCAGAGUUAAGGCGCCUAAAUCGACGCUCAUCAGACCCCACAAAAGGUGUUGGUUGAUCUAGACAGCAGGACGGUGGCCAUGGAAGUCGGAAUCCGCUAAGGAGUGUGUAACAACUCACCUGCCGAAUCAACUAGCCCUGAAAAUGGAUGGCGCUCAAGCGUCGUGCCUAUACUCUGCCGUUGUGGCAAAUGCCAAGCCACAACGAGUAGGAGGGCGCGGGGAUCGUGACGCAGCCUUUGGCGUGAGCCUGGGUGAAACGGUCUCUGGUGCAGAUCUUGGUGGUAGUAGCAAAUAUUCAAAUGAGAACUUUGAAGACCGAAGUGGAGAAAGGUUCCAUGUGAACAGCAGUUGGACAUGGGUUAGUCGAUCCUAAGAGAUAGGGAAACUCCGUUUCAAAGUGCCCGAUCACGGGCCGUCUAUCGAAAGGGAAUCGGGUUAAUAUUCCCGAACCGGAAUGUGGAUAUUCCUGGCCUUCGGGUCAGGUGAUGCGGCAACGCGACCGAACUCGGAGACGUCGGCGAGGGCCCUGGGAAGAGUUCUCUUUUCUUGUUAACGGACUACCGCACCAUGGAAGCAGAUUGCCUGGAGAUAUGGUCUAACGUCCGGUAAAGCAGCGCACUUUUUGUGCUGUCCGGUGCGCUCUCGACGACCCUUGAAAAUCCGAGGGAGACACUUGAUUUUCACAUCCGUUCGUACUCAUAACCGCAGCAGGUCUCCAAGGUGAGCAGCCUCUGGUCGAUAGAACAAUGUAGGUAAGGGAAGUCGGCAAAACAGAUCCGUAACCUCGGG